rnacentral:rRNA from 1 species
GAUGAACGCUGGCGGCGUGCUUAACACAUGCAAGUCGAACGAAGAUGCCGGAGUGCUUGCACUUUGGCAGACUGAGUGGCGGACGGGUGAGUAACGCGUGGGUAACCUGCCUUAUACGAGGGGGAUAACAGUUGGAAACGACUGCUAAUACCGCAUAAGCGCACGGUAUCGCAUGAUACAGUGUAGAAAAACUCCGGUGGUAUAAGAUGGACCCGCGUCUGAUUAGCUGGUUGGUGAGGUAACGGCCCACCAAGGCGACGAUCAGUAGCCGGCCUGAGAGGGUGAACGGCCACAUUGGGACUGAGGCACGGCCCAAACUCCUACGGGAGGCAGCAGGUGGGGAAUAUUGCACAAUGGGGGAAACCCUGAUGCAGCAACGCCGCGUGAGUGAAGAAGUAUUUCGGUAUGUAAAGCUCUAUCAGCAGGAAAGAAAAUGACGGUACCUGACUAAGAAGCCCCGGCUAACUACGUG